GGAGAAGGCUGAGGGAGGAGCCUGCCCUGGCACUGGGGAGGAUCUGGGAGAGCCCUCCCCAGGCAGCCCCAUGGACUCUCCCCACCUCCUGCACUUGGGUUUCCUGCUCCUGGCUCUUGCUGCUCUCCAUCCAAGUAUUGCCAUGUCCGCUGCUGGCCCUGCUAGGUGGACACGAGGCAGCACAACUAUGACACUCUACCACUGUAAGGACUGUGAAAGCUGCAAAUGCAAGGAUAGGAUAAUAGAUUUUAACAACUUUACAAAAAUCGCUGAAAUACAAAACAAGAAAAACACUAUUCCAGGUGUAAAAGUUGAGUUGAUGACCAAUGAAUCACACAUCACUGUUUGCUUUGAGCAAGCAAAUUCCUGUCCUGAAGAAAUUUAUGGCGUCUUGGAUGAAACUGAGCCACCAAAGUCCUGGUGUGGCAUCCUGAAUUCUAGAGAAAACGGAGGAGGUAACAUCAAUACUGAGGACCAGAAUGUUUGCUGUGAAGCAGAGGCAGAUGCCUGGCGACACAACCCUGACCUCAAGUGCUACAUUCAAAAGUCACAUUCAAAACACACUGCACUGCCAGUUACCAUUCCUGGUAAUCCUGAAUUUCCCACCAGCAAAAAGAGCGCCCUUGGCAUCUUGCUGGCAUUCCUGUUUGUUGGGGUUUGCACAGGAUGGGGCACCAUGUUUUACUUCUUGCGACUGAGGCGUCGCCAAGCUUCUAGGCAAGACAGAGAGGCUUCUGAUAGAGAAAGGCUCACACAUUCUUGAUAACCAUCUACAAGGGAGAAAACUGCUCUGCCAGCAGCGUCCUCCUCCUCUCUCAUGAUGUACAGCAACCAGCUGAACACAGACUGAUUUUCCAUGGGAACUGCUGCCCUUGUAAUCCCAAAUAGUCCUGUUUUCACAAAGGUACCUUCACCACAUCCACACCUUCCCCAAGCACUGUGACUCUUGUCCAGCUCCAGGCCCUUGUGAGCAGCACAGGCAGCACCAGGAGCCCCCAUCCUCCUCUCCUUGGCUUGGCUGCAGACAGCAGGCACCCCAGGGUGUGUGGCUGACUCAGCAGCACUGAAACCAGCUGAAUUCUCUCUGUGACAAAGUGGGAACAGCUCUGAAAUGCUUCCCAUGCCCUCUGCAUGGCUGUCACUUGGUAAUGCCACAGCACCACCCAGGUGUCUGUAUUGUUUGAAUUCCCAGGUAAUCUCUGCAUCUACCAAAGCCUUUUGCACCACAAGCUGGCUGGUAGGUUGAAGUGGAAGAAUUUGGAAGAGAUAUUUGAUUUUGCCCCCACCAGCAGGCUGAGGACAUGUCUGAGUGUUUGUUCCUGAGCAGGGCUGGGUGGGAGGCUGUGUCCAGCUCCCUCAGGAAUGGCAUUGGGUCACAGAGGCCUUGGUGUCCCCCAGGCUGAGCAGAACUCUGAUAUCAAUCUUCCUGACAAAUUAGGCAAGUUUAGACAGCAUGAGAUGAGUACAGCCCCUCAGGCAUCCCUUUGGGUACUUGGUAUCUUUAAAUCAUUCCCCAUUCCCACCUGAUUUGAAUAAAUCCUCAGCUUUUGCAUUGGAUCUAAUUUACUAUCAAGACUGUUGAGCAAAAAUCAGUGGCAGUACAAGGGGAGAAGCAAAUCCCUUAAGCAAUGUGAAUGUUUGCUGAAUCACUGUCCUUUUGCCACACAGCUAAGCACAAGCACACACAGAGUUCUUGGUUUAUUUCUGCUUUGAUUGACUCAAUUUUGUUUGUUGCUUGUUUUUUCCUCAAUGUGUCUUAACCAUCCAGUCAGUAGCAGAGUGAACCUUGCCAACAAACUCUGUUGUGCUGGUGCUUAAUAUCAAAUCUGGAUUUUACUGAUCCCCUUGCUGGUGAUGUUUUGAGAGAUCUCCAACACUUUGAACAGGUGAUUCCCAUUUGAUCCCUCUGUUCCUUGCUAUUCAUUGUACAAAUGUUUCUUGUUCAGUUCCUUUGGUUAUUGGGGUCAUUGGAGAGGUCUAAGGGUCUCAUUAUACAUUUGUAUACCUUUGUUUCUCACUGGAUUCACACUUUCUGCAGUCAUCUUUCAGAGAAUCUGUAUUAACCAGUUCCUUGAUGUUAUUAAAUUCUUC
ensembl:lncRNA